rnacentral:rRNA from 1 species
UCCGUAGGGUGCGAGCGUUAAUCGGAAUUACUGGGCGUAAAGCGUGCGCAGGCGGUUAUGCAAGACAGAGGUGAAAUCCCCGGGCUCAACCUGGGAACUGCCUUUGUGACUGCAUAGCUAGAGUACGGUAGAGGGGGAUGGAAUUCCGCGUGUAGCAGUGAAAUGCGUAGAUAUGCGGAGGAACACCGAUGGCGAAGGCAAUCCCCUGGACCUGUACUGACGCUCAUGCACGAAAGCGUGGGGAGCAAACAGG